GAUGAACGCUGGCGGCGUGCUUAACACAUGCAAGUCGAACGGGAAACCUUUUAUUGAAGCUUCGGCAGAUUUAGCUGGUUUCUAGUGGCGGACGGGUGAGUAACGCGUGGGUAACCUGCCUUAUACAGGGGGAUAACAACCAGAAAUGGUUGCUAAUACCGCAUAAGCGCACAGGACCGCAUGGUCCGGUGUGAAAAACUCCGGUGGUAUGAGAUGGACCCGCGUUGGAUUAGCUAGUUGGCAGGGUAACGGCCUACCAAGGCGACGAUCCAUAGCCGGCCUGAGAGGGUGAACGGCCACAUUGGGACUGAGACACGGCCCAGACUCCUACGGGAGGCAGCAGUGGGGAAUAUUGCACAAUGGGGGAAACCCUGAUGCAGCGACGCCGCGUGAAGGAAGAAGUAUCUCGGUAUGUAAACUUCUAUCAGCAGGGAAGAUAGUGACGGUACCUGACUAAGAAGCCCCGGCUAACUACGUG
rnacentral:rRNA from 1 species